GGAAAGGACAAAUGGUUUGCCUCUGUCUGAAAAACAAGGGGUCGGCAGUUCGAUUCUGCCUCUGGCCA
rnacentral:tRNA from 1 species